GUCUACGGCCAUAGCACCCUGAAUGCACCUAAUCUCAUCUGAUCUCAGAAGCUAAGCAGGGUUGAACCUGGUUAAUACUUGGAUGAGAGAAUAAUUCUGAUAGGUCUGGGAGUACAAGGUU
ensembl:rRNA 5S_rRNA 5S ribosomal RNA